GGAGGCCUUGGAUGAUGUUUUCUCUCCUUGAUAGAUUGAAGCUCCAUCUUUCAUUCAUCCUUCUCUCUUAAAGCAAGCAAGGAGGUCUCCAUGGCCAGCCUUGUGAGGUGGCAUAAAAGAUUGGCAGACUUGUUAGGCUAUUUCAAGUGGGAGUGUAGAAUCUUAAUUAGAUAUUCAUCAAGAAGCUGUGGUAACUACACAGUGAAUCAACGGGUCAGCAUCAAGGGCAUGAGUACUACUUGCUAGGCUGAUAGAGGUCAUAGUGCGGCUACGUGGCAAUGUGUAGGGCAUUUGCAAGCUUCCUACCUUCUGUGUUCAUCUUUCAGUUCAU